GACGAACCGUGCGAACGUUGUUCGGAUUCACUGGGCUUAAAGGGCGCGUAGGCGGUGAUCCAAGUCCGGGGUGAAAUCUUUCGGCUCAACCGGAAAAGUGCCUUGGAUACUGGAUCACUGGAGGGAGGUAGGGGUGCGCGGAACUUCCGGUGGAGCGGUGAAAUGCGUAGAUAUCGGAAGGAACGCCGGUGGCGAAAGCGGCGCACUGGACCUCUUCUGACGCUGAGGCGCGAAAGCCAGGGGAGCAAACGGG
rnacentral:rRNA from 1 species